UACGGGGGGGGCAAGCGUUGUUCGGAAUUACUGGGCGUAAAGGGCUCGUAGGCGGCCAACUAAGUCUGACGUGAAAUCCCCAGGCUCAACCUGGGAACUGCGUCCGAUACUGGAUGGCUUGAAUCCGGGAGAGGGAUGUGGAAUUCCAGGUGUAGCGGUGAAAUGCGUAGAUAUCGGGAGGAACACCGGUGGCGAAGGCGACUUCCUGGCGUGUUCUUGACGCUGAGGCGCGAAAGCUAGGGGAGCAAACGGG
rnacentral:rRNA from 1 species